GGGGCCGUAGCUCAAUUGGGAGAGCGCCUGCUUUGCAAGCAGGAGGUCGUCGGUUCGAUCCCGUCCGGCUCCA
rnacentral:tRNA from 1 species